rnacentral:lncRNA from 10 species
UUUGUAUUUUUUAUAGAGACAGAGUUUCGCCGUGUUGCCCAGGCUAGUCUCGAACUCCUGAGCUCAAGUGAUCUGCCUGCCUCUGCCUCCCAAAGUGCUGGGUUUACAGGCGUGAGCUACCGCCCUCAGCCCUUAUCCUAUGCUCUUAACCACAAAUUACACUCCACAUAGUUCCUGACUCAUACUACUUGCUAGGUAAUAUUAAUGGCGGUCUAUGCUUAAUUGCUGAUAGCUUUCUGAUGAAGUCAUUUUGGGUAGAUUCAUCCUGCUCUAUCUUUAAUUGUGUUGAACUAAAAUCAAAAGCAGGUAUUUUCCCCCCUGCCCGGUCCCCACAGGCAAAUUCUUCUAAAAGAGCACAGAUUAUAUUGUUGAUCCAGCCAUUCAUCAUUUUCAUCCAUGUCGUCAUCAGAUAUUUACUGAAUGCUUUGUAGUAGACACUGUGAUUGAAUCUAAAAUAUCCUUUCUACCUCUAGAGAAUUAGGAUUUUUAGCCAAUGAUGAUAAAUCUGCUCUCCCUUGUCACAGAUUGGUUGAGGGGUGGGCCGACCCUAGCCUGUUUGGGCCAAUGAGAGGUGAGUACAGGGCUGUCAGGAUCUUCUGGGAAGAAGCCCUACCUCCACCGCCCUCAAGCUGGUCUCUCCAUCUUGCAGCCCGAGGGAGGCCUGAUGUGGCGUGAGGCUGUGGUCUGCAGAGUGGAAGGCUCCAAGAACCUGGUUUGGAGUCUCACCUUCUGUGUCUCCAGUUAAUACGAGGUACAGCUUUCCUUUUUUUCAUUGCUUAGGCUGAUUUGAGUGG